rnacentral:rRNA from 1 species
GAAAGCGGUGCUAAUACCGAAUAAGACCACGGUAUCACAUGAUACAGUGGGAAAAGGUGGCCUCUGUAUAUGCUAUCACUUGGAGAUAAGCUCGCGGACCAUUAGCUUGUUGGUAGGGUAACGGCCUACCAAGGCCAAGAUGGUUAGCUGGUCUGAGAGGAUGAUCAGCCACACUGGAACUGAGACACGGUCCAGACUCCUACGGGAGGCAGCAGUGGGGAAUAUUGCGCAAUGGGGGAAACCCUGACGCAGUGACGCCGUGUGAGUGAUGAAGGUUUUCGGAUCGUAAAGCUCUGUCAGAUGGGAAGAAUAAAGGCAGGGAAGAUAUUUCUGCCUGAUGACGGUACCAUCAGAGGAAGCACCGGCUAACUCCGUGCCAGCAGCCGCGGUAAUACGGAGGGUGCAAACGUUGUUCGGAAUUACUGGGCGUAAAGCGCAUGUAGGCGGAUAUGGAAGUCAGAUGUGAAAGCCCUUGGCUCAACCAAGGAAGUGCAUCUGAAACCACAUAUCUUGAGUAUGACAGAGGGAAGUGGAAUUUCCAGUGUA